AUCCAUUCGGCAUGACUAUACGGAUGGACGUUUUACACACCAGCAGAAACCUGUAUCUCCUAAUGGUACAGUAAGGGCUGAGUGCAGAGGGAAAGUCCCGUGCAUUUCCUAUGUUAAAUGGCACAACUCCCACAGAUCACAUACACCUUGCCAUAUUGACGCAGUUCAUUGCGCUCCAUAUCCUGCAAAAAUAAAUCUAGUGCUCGACAGCUGACAUUAUUGCUCACCAACGUUUUAGUAAUAUAUUUCUUUAACAUAAGACAGAAAUAUACUGAAAGUUGAUACCACUUAAACUCAAAAGCAAUCUGGAAUUAAACCACAUGCAUAUACCCUGCUUUUUUUUUUUUUUUUUUUCAAUGGAUGUUGCAUUUUUCUUAAAGCUGAUGCCGGAAAAUGUGGUAGGAGGAAAAACUGGCUUUCCUUGAAACAAAGACAAAGGAUUAGAAAUGAAGUGGGUUUUUUUUUUUUUGUUUUUUUUGUUUUUUUGUGUUUUUUGAGGGAAAUGUUAAGCCCUAUAAUAAAAACGAGAGAACAAUGAGAGUCUGGAAUCUCUGGGAAGAGGGAAGGAGCUCCUCAUUCAUCUUCCUUGUCUACCCCAACACGGUGGCUCGUGUCCAGGACACCCCGGGGCAGAAGCUGGAGCAAUGCGAGAAGUGCUGUGUGGCCCAAAGGACAGAUGUACGUAUGCUGUGUCAGGGAAGUCUCUGGAGACUUCCUUCGUUAGUGGAUCCCACACUGGAUCCUCGGGUCUCUGGGAAAUGAUGGGGCUAGAGGUACAAGGCUUGGGAGCUGGGAAAUGAGGAGCAUAACUUACCGGCAUUGUGAGGUGAGAGCAUUCGUGACUUUUCAUUUUAACUUCUCGUUGUUUCUCAUUGUCAAGUGUCCCUCUUUCUUAUUUUUGUCUUGGUGCUUACAAGGAAAGACGUCAGUUUUCAUAAGCUUUCAAAGAUUUACAAUAUUUUUUAAAAACUGCCUUUCAGGAUUAGCAUUCAAGGCCUCAAACACCAUAUCUAUCAAUCAUAAACCGUACCCUCAAACCCAGCUCUGGCGAUAUCAUCUUAAAUCACUGCAGGUCCUACCUGUGGAAACCUUAUUGUGCACAGUGACAGCCGUUCCACGUUCCACAGGGCCAAGUGUUACACAGCAACUGAGCGGAGCUCCGCAGAGUAAAACCAGCCAUAUUGCUACAAAGAAAAAUUUCUGGCUCGUGGCCCAACUGUUUCCAUACCAAUCAGCUAAGUCAACCUUCUCUCUGCUUCUUUCCAUUUCAAAUGCUUGGGCUUCAGCCUCUGAGGCAAUUAGAACCAGAUCAGUUUAA
rnacentral:lncRNA from 1 species